GACAGAGGUCCCAAGCGUUAGGCGGAAUCACUGGGCUUAAAGCGUGUGUAGGCGGAUGCCUAAGUACCUUGUGAAAUCCCACGGCUCACCCGUGGAACUGCUUGGUAUACUGGGUGUCUUGAGCCACUUAGGGGCUACCGGAACAAAUGGUGGAGCGGCGAAAUGCGUAGAUAUUCGGAAGAACACCGGUGGCGAAGGCGACCUUCUGGGCCGCAACUGACGCUGAGGCACGAAAGCGUGGGGAGCGAACAGG
rnacentral:rRNA from 1 species